rnacentral:lncRNA from 1 species
AUUGGGCGUGUUUAUUCAUUCACUUAUUCCACAAAAUAUUUGUGUCUACUACUACUUUCAGAGCUUAGUGAGCAGCACUGUGGAUACAAAGAUACAAAGUCACUUUCCCUGCCUUUGAGUUGUGCUUCCUGCAGUAGGUGAGCCAAGUACAUGAAUGGAUGAAUGCCAUGUGGGAUGGCACAGGAGGUGGUGGUGCAGGUGGAAGUGGUGAUAAAGAUGAAAAUAGUGGUAGAGGUAGUAUGGGUGGUAGUGUUGGUGGAGGUUGUGUUGUUUUUAUUGCAGGUGGUGUUGAUGGUAGUAAUAAUUUUCUCUACCAGGCUCUACCUAUGUGCCAGGUAUUGGGAUAACACCUUCUGUGUCUUAUGUACUCACUCCCCCGACAACAUACCAAGAGACAGGCAUUCUUAUCCAUGUUUGAUAGAUGUGGGGACCCAACUUGUCUGUAGUCAGUUAGCUCAUAAUUAAGUGGCAUAUCAAGAUUCACAGACAGGUCUGUCCAACUUCAAGGUACCAGCCCUUAACCCUCUUGACUGCCACAUUGGUCUGUGCUACACCGUUUGCUAUGGGCAGAAGACCUUGAACUGUGUCUGGAGAAGAUUAUGUUAGGUCACCUCUCCCAAAGAAUGUACUGCUUCUGCUGUGGCUCUGAAAGACAAAGUGGAGGAAGGCACUCCAACAAAAAUGCAGCAUUUAGUUUGAGACUUAAGUCUACGUAAUAAAAAUAAAAGUAACUUUUCGCUCACUAAAAAAUAAAUAAUGCACAUAUGACUUGGCUAAAUAAAGAAUGCAAAUAUGACUUGGCUAGUCAGGACAGACUUAUUUAUAGAGACAGUUGGGAGUCGGCUUUGGUGCGUGACGAGAGAGGUCCCUGGGAAAGCAGAGAGGAGCUGAAGGUGGCCCAGAGCCAGCCGUGCUCACAUGAAGAACAAUCAGAGCAUCCAUCAAAGUGAAUGUGGCAGUCCUGGAGAGGCCCGGAACUCAGAGCCACAGGAGACUCAGUAAGGACACCAGCCAAAGAAAAUAGUAAUCUAAAAUGAUCCCAGAGAGAAAAGAUCUUUCUAAAAGAUGUGUUCCACAGAUGAAUUUGCUGAAGCACUUCCAUAUUUGUGAAUGGAAAUUCAGUUACUGUGACUGCCUAACAAAUCACUUUAACCUAAUAGCAAAAAGCAGCCAUUAUUAUGCUCUCAGUCUGCAGGUCAAGAAUUUGGACAAGGCAUGGCAGGAACAGCUUGUCUCUGCUCCAUGCUAUCUGAGGUCUUAGUUGCAAGCUCAAAGGCUCAGGGCUUAGAAUCAUUUGAAGGUUCUUCCUCAUACAUGUUUGGGGGAUGAUGCUGUUUCGGGGGCUUCAGUUCCUCUCCACUUAAAUAUUUCCCUGUGAUCUCUGCAUGGGUUAGUUUGGGCUUCCUUCCAGCCUGGGUUCUGGGUUCCAAGGGUGAGCGUCCUUUGUCUUCCCUCUGACUUGACAUAGGUUAGGUCUUCUAACCACAUGCAGGCUGCUGCUUAUAUAUUUUGGUUAGCCUGAAGUUGCUCUUGUCAAGGUCACCAAUAACUUCCGUGUUGCUAAAUCCAAUGGUCAAUUCUCAGCCCCCGCCUCACUUGACCUAUCAGCCAGUUGAUCAUUCUUCCUUCUGGAAAUGAUGCUUUCUUUUGGCUUCCAGGACUCCAAGUUCUCCUAGAUUUUCUGUGUUUCACUGGCCACUCCUUGUUAAUCUUCUUUAACUGGGUACUCUUCUAUUCCCGGACUAUAGAAGGUCCUGGGGCUUUUCUUCUCUAUAAACAUUCAUGUCCUUAUCUAGCCCCAUGGAUUUAAGUAAGACUUACAU